rnacentral:rRNA from 1 species
UACGAAGGGGCUAGCGUUGCUCGGAAUCACUGGGCGUAAAGCGCACGUAGGCGGCUUUCUAAGUCGGGGGUGAAAUCCUGGAGCUCAACUCCAGAACUGCCUUCGAUACUGGAGAGCUCGAGUCCGGGAGAGGUGAGUGGAACGUGCGAGUGUAGAGGUGAAAUUCGUAGAUAUUCGCAAGAACACCAGUGGCGAAGGCGGCUCACUGGCCCGGUACUGACGCUGAGGUGCGAAAGCGUGGGGAGCAAACAGG